AUUGAACGCUGGCGGCAGGCCUAACACAUGCAAGUCGAGCGGAUGAAGGGAGCUUGCUCCUGGAUUCAGCGGCGGACGGGUGAGUAAUGCCUAGGAAUCUGCCUGGUAGUGGGGGAUAACGUCCGGAAACGGGCGCUAAUACCGCAUACGUCCUGAGGGAGAAAGUGGGGGAUCUUCGGACCUCACGCUAUCAGAUGAGCCUAGGUCGGAUUAGCUAGUUGGUGGGGUAAAGGCCUACCAAGGCGACGAUCCGUAACUGGUCUGAGAGGAUGAUCAGUCAACCUGGAAUUGGGACACGGUCCAGACCCCUACGGGAGGCAGCGGGGGGGAAUUUUGGAAAAGGGGGGAAAGCCUGAUCCAGCCAUGCCGGGUGUGUGAAGAAGGUCUUCGGUUUGUAAAGCCCUUUAAGUUGGGAGGAAGGGCAGUAAGUUAAUACCUGGCUUUUUUGGCUUUACCAACAGAAUAAGCACCGGCUAACUGCGU
rnacentral:rRNA from 1 species